CUCUAGGACUCAUGGUGA
rnacentral:siRNA from 1 species